rnacentral:rRNA from 1 species
AUUGAACGCUGGCGGAAUGCUUUACACAUGCAAGUCGAACGGCAGCACGGACUUCGGUCUGGUGGCGAGUGGCGAACGGGUGAGUAAUGUAUCGGAACGUGCCCAGUCGUGGGGGAUAACGUAGUGAAAAUUACGCUAAUACCGCAUACGAUCUAUGGAUGAAAGCGGGGGAUCGCAAGACCUCGCGCGAUUGGAGCGGCCGAUAUCAGAGUAGGUAGUUGGUGGGGUAAAGGCCCACCAAGCCAACGAUCUGUAGCUGGGCUGAGAGGACGACCAGCCACACUGGAACUGAGAUACGGUCCAGACUCCUACGGGAGGCAGCAGUGGGGAAUUUUGGACAAUGGGCGAAAGCCUGAUCCAGCCACUCCGCGUGCAGGAUGAAGGCCCUCGGGUUGUAAACUGCUUUUGUACAGAACGAAAAGGUUUCUACUAAUACUAGGAGCUCAUGACAGUACUGUAAGAAUAAGCACCGGCUAACUACGUGCCAGCCGCCGCGGUAA